CAGAAAUGACCCAGCAGCCCUUCUCUGAGGUCUUCUCUGUGCUUUUUAGAGUAUCCUCCUUAAGUGGACCAAAGGCUUCAAGGCAUCUGGAUGCGAGGGUGAGGACAUGGUCACCCUGCUGAAGGAAGUGAUCCACAGGCGAGAGGAGUUUGACCUGGAUGUGGUGGCUAUGGUUAAUGACACAGUUGGAACUAUGAUGACCUGUGGCUAUGAAGACCCUCACUGUGAGGCAUGGGUAGCAACGCCUGCUACAUGGAGGAGAUGUGAAAUGUGGAGCUGGUGGAUGGAGAAGAGGGGCAGAUGUGCGUCAACAUAGAGUGGGGGGGGGCUUUAGGGCAAUGGAUGCCUGGACGACUUCCGCACGGAAUUUGACAAGGCUGUGGAUGAUCUUUCGCUCAACCUGGGCAAACAGAGAGACUGCCUGGCCCUGCUGCAAGUCCGUGCCAUCCUGCACCACUUGGGCCUCGAGAGCACCUGUGACGACAGCAUCAUCGUCAAGGAGGUGUGCACUGUGGUGGCAUGGCGGGCAGCCCAGCUCUGUGGUGCAGGCAUGGCUGUCUUUGUGGACAAGAUACAGGAAAACCGUGGGCUGGACACCCUCAAAGUCUCAGUGGGUGUGGAUGGGACCCUCUACAUCCUCAUUUUGCCAAAGUCAUGCAUGAGACUGUGAAGGACCUGGCCCCUAAAUGUGAAGUGUCCUUCCUGGAGUCAGAGGAUGGCAGCAGGAAGGGGGCCACGCUCAUCACUGCCGUGUCCUGUCACACCCGUGAGGCUUGUCAGUGAUAGAACCCCCGAAUUCGGAAGGGACUUCUCUGCUUCCCCCUCUUCCCUGUUUUAAAUUAUAAGGAGUCAUCUUUUUGUGUCAGAGACACAGUCCCCUCAGUUUUUCCUUGGCAGAGAGGACCAAGUCAGAUUGGGAUUUUUUUUUUUACAUUCACUGUAAAGUUUUGUGCCCAAGUCUUGGCCUUUCUGAGCUACAGAAGCCAGGACUGUUCAUACUGGUCACAACCAUUCCCAUUGGUUCUCAAACAACUUAAAAUAAUAAUAAUAAUCCUUAGCACCCCUCCCUCCUCCUGGAAUUCCACAUCUCUGUGGAAAAUUGCUUGACAAUAACUGAGAAAGGAAAAAGAUCAAGGCUAAGAGAAUAAUAGAGCCAAUGAUAAAGGAAAAAUUUAAAUUAGUUCCUAUUGUUUUUAACAAAGUGUUGAGACCAUGGGAGUAUAAGUUGGUAAAAUGGUCAAAGUAUAAAUUGGUAGAACCUGUUCAGUGGGGAAAUAGGUGAUAUAUAUAUGUUUUACAUAAUUUUCCAGAAAUUUGUGCUAAGGAAAUACACAUUGGGAACUAAGGUUUUGACUAUUAUAUGGUUUAUAAUAGCUAAAAAUAAACUGUUUGGCUCACCCUGUUUCAGGGUCCAGAUAGUAAAAACUUGUCUCUAGUUUUUCCAAACAUUAUAAUUUAGUGAUGUGAUUAAACAGGUGAUGGAAAGUGGAGAAGCCAGAUACUACAGAGAAGCAACCCAGAAAUUAUGAC